rnacentral:misc_RNA from 1 species
GGUUAGCUCAAAAGAUUGACCCAGCUUUAAGUCCCGACUGCCUAAGUAAUAAUGGAGGCAACUAUUCAAGUAAUCAUUCAGGUAGAUAUGGAAGAACAACUUUUCCCCUAUGCCUUCCGCCACUGAUGAAGGAGAGAAUUUUAUGAAGUUGUUCAGCGUAAAUGAUAAACCACCAUUAUUUCAUUUUGUUUAUCCAUAAGAUAAUUAAUUUUAGAGAAAUGCAAAUAAAUAAGACAAUAUAGAUACAAAAAUGAAAAUAAUGAAAAUCGAAUAACAUACAAGCUUGAAGCUUUUCAAUGAAAAAGUUUCCGCCUGUCACAUGAAUUAAAUAAACCCAAAUGCAGCAACUUGCAGAUACCAAGAAAACUUAACAACGAAACAGUAAAUUUCUAAGAAAAGUAAACAAGCCAAUAACACAUAUCGCAAUUUUACUAUGAAAACUGAAUAACUAACCUUGAAGAUUAGACAUGCUGCCAAUCUGAGGUGGAAUCUCCCCAAACAGAUUAUUCACAUUAAGAUACAAAUCAGUGAGAUCAGUUAGCUCAGCUAUCUCUUUCGGUAUGUCCCCAGUAAGAGCAUUGAAAUGCAGAUACA